CCCCCACUAACUUUACCAAUCCCGUAACUGCAAACCCUUAUUUUCUGCUACCUCUCUCAACCUGCUGCACCUCGUGCCUCCACCGUUCUUGCCGCUGCCGUCGCCGCUCUUGUUUUGCGUUGCUUCUUGCACGGUUCGUUGUCCUGUUCUCAGAGUUUAACAUCAUUCCAUUGUUCCUCUCCUCCAGCAAGUUUCUUCUUCCUCAUAAAAGGGAUUAGGGUCGUGUUGAAUAGCGAAAAGUAUCAAGCUUUCUGGGAUGGCUUGGGUCGUGUUGAAUAGCGAAAUUGUUACCUACUAUGCUGUUGUCGUGACGAAUUACGUUCCUGCCUAGUAUGCUGGAGGGCUUGAUUUUCUUAUUACCAUGGUGGUGUUGAUCUUGUUUCAUGGUUUGUAUCAGUUAGGUCGUGUUGUAUUUGUGGAGGAUUAUGAAGAUGGUGCUAGGCUUAAGGUCCAUUGCAGCUGCAUCUAUCAAUGACAGUGUUGGAAGAAGAGCCAUAAAAGAAGAGCGGUACGAUGAUGCAGCUUUCUUAAGAGAUAAAACUGGUGCUUGACCUUUGGUUGGUGGGCUGGUAUUUCAAAAGACGUCAAUGAUCCACAUGGUCUAAUUUUUCCUAUAACUCCAGAGCAUGGAAGAUAUGUAGCAAGGAGUUAUAGUCCCAGAUGACUGUGUCCAAGAGUGCGGUGCGUUCUUGGGAGUUGAUUCUCAGUGAAGAGCACAAGGACAAGGCUUGGGUGUCCAACACGCACCAAGUCCGUCGGAUAUACGUCGGCAAUGCUACGCUCAAGUGCAAUGACAAGAAAGGAGAGUGGAUCGAGUCUCAGAUGCUUACGGGAAGGGUGGAACUACCAUUCGCGCCCUUUCGUUUCCAGACACCUACUGUGGAGUAAGAGCAAUCCUCUAACCAGGAGUCAGAGUUGGAGUCAGAUCCAUCUGAAGAGACAUCGGCAGAGACGAGUGAGCCUCUAGUAGAAUCCGAGGACUUACUGAAGGCUGAGGUGAAGGAGGAGGAACUUCCACCACUACAAGGAGAGUCCUAGAACAUGAAGAACCCAGAUGAGGAUGAGGUGAAGGCCCAGAGCUUCUUUCGACUGGCAGUUGAUCAAUACUAUCAGCAGAAGGGUCAACUCUAUCCAGGUCUGAGGAAUCAUCUGUUGAGGGAGUUCACCAAUGAGCCACUGCCAGAUGACGACUACUCUACGGAAGAAGAAGAAGAGGCAGAGGAAGAGGCUAAGGAACAGGGUUGGGUGAGAGACAUUCACUUUCUUUUGGGUUUGAGAGCACCGAGUUUGGGCAUUGAACUAUUUCUUUUGAUUUCGUUUCAGAUAUUUAAAUUUGAUGUAAGUUUACCUUGUUUUUUCAGACACAUGUUUCAUACUCUUUCAUAUGAUUAUUUACUUCGGAAGUUUUGCGUUAUUAA